GACGUAGGAGGCAAGCGUUGUCCGGAGUUACUGGGCGUAAAGCGCGCGCAGGCGGCCCUGUACGCUGCCGGUGAAAGCUCCCGGCUCACCUGGGAGAGGUUCGGCAGUACGGCAGGGCUUGAGGGCGGUAGAGGGUGGUGGAAUUCCCGGUGUAGUGGUGAAAUGCGUAGAGAUCGGGAGGAACACCCGUAGCGAAGGCGGCCACCUCGGGCCGACCCUGGACGCGUGA
rnacentral:rRNA from 1 species